rnacentral:piRNA from 1 species
UCCAGAUUCAGUCUCCCGAGAUCACU